UCCAGUUUUGGUUGAUCUAUUAUUAAUUCUCUGGACAGGAUUCCAUUCCCCCAAAAAAUAAUGCAUAUGCGUCUUUGCCAGUUGCCAUAUUGGUCCCCUUUUCACCUUUUUAAUUGUGCGUUUUGUUCCUUCUCAAUAUUGCUGUUAAAUAAAUUGCUAGGCGAUGCGUUCAGUGUUCUGCAUAGAGUCCCCUGACCAGGGGAUGAAUUUGCUUCUGCGAAGGAAAUUGUAAAUCUGUGACAUAAUGACCUGUCUUUCUGGUUUGGUCAGUGCUCUGUAAUAACCAACAGAUCCACCUGAAAUGGAACGAUUCGCCACUGACUUCAUGCAUCAGAAUUUUGCUGUUGAUGUCUCUAUCCAGCCACCUUAACUAAUUGGUAUUAGUUUAGAUAUAUUCAGCUUUUUUGAGUAGUAUACUGUUCUUCCUGUUGUCACCUGUCAUCACUGCCAUCAUCUACAUCACCAACACUGAAGGCCUACCAGCAUUUACUUUAUUUGAUACACUUUGUUGGUACAAGACUAUGGUGACUUGAUCUUGUCUUCCUUUGCUACUUGGAAUAUCUUCUCCUAGGGGAGGGGCACUAGCGGACAGCUCGGCAACGGUGAAAUAGUCGACAGGAACACGCCUGUGCUGAUCGAUGCCCUGAGCUUAGACGGUUCUGCCUGCAAGAAGCUGGAGUCAUCCACGGCAGCCCCGUUCGCAG